rnacentral:tRNA from 1 species
GCAAGAGUGGCGGAACUGGCAGACGCGCUGGACUUAGGAUCCAGUCUCGAAAGAGGUGGAGGUUCGAGUCCUCUCUCUUGCA